rnacentral:rRNA from 1 species
GAUGAACGCUGGCGGCGUGCUUAACACAUGCCAGUCGAACGAAGCGCCUUGAUUUGAUUCUUCCGAUGGAGAUCUUGGUGACUGUGUGGCGGACGGGUGAGUCACGCGUGUGUAACCUGCCUCAUACAGGGGGAUAACAGUUAGAAAUGACUGCUAAUACCGCAUACGACCACCGCACCGCAUGGUGCAGGGGGAAAAACCCCGGUGGUAUGAGAGGGACCCGAGUCGGAUUAGGUAGUUGGUGGGGUAACGGCCUACCCAGCCGAGGAGCAGUAGCCGAGCUGUGAGGGUGACCGGCGACAUUGGGACUGGGACACGGCCCAGACUCCUACGGGAGGCAGGAGUGGGGAAUAUUGCACAGUGGGGGAAACCCUGAUGCAGCGAGGCGGGGUGAGCGAUGAAGUAUUUCGAGAUGUAAAGCGCUAUCAACAGGGAAGAAAAUGACGGUACCUGACUAAGAAGCACCGGCUAACUACGUG